rnacentral:rRNA from 1 species
AGCGAACGCUGGCGGCAGGCCUAACACAUGCAAGUCGAACGAACUCUUCGGAGUUAGUGGCGGACGGGUGAGUAACACGUGGGAACGUGCCUUUUGGUUCGGAAUAACUCAGGGAAACUUGUGCUAAUACCGAAUGUGCCCUUCGGGGGAAAGAUUUAUCGUCAUUAGAGCGGCCCGCGUCUGAUUAGCUAGUUGGUGAGGUAACGGCUCACCAAGGCGACGAUCAGUAGCUGGUCUGAGAGGAUGACCAGCCACACUGGGACUGAGACACGGCCCAGGCUCCUACGGGAGGCAGCAGUGGUGAAUCUUGCGCAAUGGGCGAAAGCCUGACGCAGCCAUGCCGCGUGAAUGAUGAAGGUCUUAGGAUUGUAAAAUUCUUUCACCGGGGACGAUAAUGACGGUACCCGGAGAAGAAGCCCCGGCUAACUUCGUG